CUACGGGAUGCAGCGGUGAGGAAUAUUGCACAAUGGGGGGAACCCUGAUGCAGCAACGCCGCGUGGAGGAUGACGCAUUUCGGUGUGUAAACUCCUUUUAUAUGUCAAGAAAAUGACGGUAGCAUAUGAAUAAGCACCGGCUAACUCCGUGCCAGCAGCCGCGGUAAUACGGAGGGUGCAAGCGUUACUCGGAAUCACUGGGCGUAAAGGACGCGUAGGCGGGCUUGUAAGUCAGGUGUGAAAUCCUACAGCUUAACUGUAGAACUGCACUUGAAACUACGAGCCUAGAGUAUGGGAGGGGCAGAUGGAAUUAGUGGUGUAGGGGUAAAAUCCGUAGAUAUCACUAGGAAUACCUAAAGCGAAGGCGAUCUGCUGGAACAUAACUGACGCUAAGGCGUGAAAGCGUGGGGAGCAAACAGGAUUAGAUACCCGCGUAGUC
rnacentral:rRNA from 1 species